UACCCGUUUUUAUAAGCGGGAAAUUUUAAUAUUGCAAAACCAGCAUAAUUACACUUAGUCGCCUUCACUUCUUUCCGAUAAAUUUAUUGAGAUAGAGAGUUCAUCUAGUUAUCACGGGAGAAUGUACACUAAUAAAUAUGAAGAUAAAAAUAAAGAAAAAUGGAACAUAUGGAAUAAGUGAUAUUUUAUUUUAUAUAUUUUUUACGCAAAAUAGUUGAUCCGUUCCAUUCCGUUCUGCCGCGACCGGUAUCUUCACAUCCGGAACCGACCCGGAUGUACAUCCCAACAAAACGAUAACGUUCGUAUCGUGUUACUCUCAUACAUACAUACAGGUGUUACAAUACGACAGGACUGUAGCUUCAAAUUCAAAACUUACUACACCAAGGCAUCAUAGUGGACUAAGUUAUCGUAAGACUAUUAUGAAAGUUGUCCUUCAUCAUAAGACUCAAAUUGGACGUAAAUUCAACCAUAACAAUCGGUGAAAGUAAAAAAGUCGAGAUUUAUUGAGAUUUCUCACUUCACAAAUACGUUGAGCGUGGGGCAUUGGUUGUCGAGAAAUGAGCUCGGUGUUGCAGCCAUUCACCACUUAAUCUACUCCCAUACGAAAUGAUAAUGUUCAUUUUAAAUUUGAAUUCCACUAGUAUUCUUUCUACUAACAAUUAUGUUUUACACCCCUACCCCAAACACAACCAUUUUUUAUUUACACUAACUAAGCAAAUGUAUUUUUUAUUUAAAUUUCAGUUUAUUUUAAUUAUAAUUACAGAUUUAAAUAUGAGUUGAGAUGUUUUAAAUUUUUAUUUCAUUUACGUUACAUCCAUCGUUCCCAUUUUCUGAUUUCAUACUAUUUAUUAUAUUUAGGUAUUUUUGUUCAGCUGUUUUUACAUUUAAUUUUGGCUUCUAAACACAAUUGCGUAUCGUUAAUCAGAUGUAAAAAUAAAAUACAUUAUACAUACACCUCUCCUGAGUCCAGGAUCCCCGUAUUAUAACUAAAUUUUGUAUUUGUGUUUUAUUUCUCCUUCAAUAUUUUGUGAGCAACAAAAUCUGGAACUGCUCUAUUAAGGAUGACAGAGAGUGGUUGUGAUACAAACGAUAGUUAAACCAAAAUGAGAUUACAGCAGUUAUGGAAGAACUAAGAAAAGUACGUGUAAUGUAUUUAUAUUUCUAAAAUAAAUUUUAUUAGUUCGUUCAUACGUAUUGAAAUAAUACCGAAAA